CAGCCGAGACCUCUCUCUGGGCAGCAGCAAGGCCACACCCCCUCCCUCAUUCCCAGGACAGGACAGCAUCAGUGUCAGGAAGCCUUUGCUGAACACGUGAUUGAGUGUGACGGCAGGGGAGGAAUGUGACAAGUGGGCAGAUCCCAGAGGCUCUGCCUGUGAGGGUCAGCUCAGCCCGCAUUUCUCAGGGGCCCACAGGGGAGAUGCUGCUCUGGCGGCGCCUCCAAACCCCGGUCUUGUUCCCUCUAGAUAAGGUUCUGACGUUGCUCCCAGCGGCAGCUGGAGGCCACCCUCAGCAUCCAUCCCCAGGUCCGGACCAGCCAGCUGGCCCACUGAUGUCCUGUGCUGGUCACUGGGGAGGAAAGAUGUCCCAGCCUUGAGGUCUGGACUCAGCCCCUGAAGAGGACGCUCAUCCAGAGUCCCAGGCUGCAGAGCCACAGCCCUCAGGGUCCCAUGGGAGUCGGGCCCUGCCUGCCAGUGCCUCCUCCGAACGGCAGAGCCACAGCUCCUUGUGUCUCCACUCCUGUUCCACCCCUUCUGGAUCCCGCACCCGAGGCCAUCCCUGCCAGCCAGACGAACGUCAGGAGCCAUCUGCUGCCUGAGCCAGCGCAGCUGCUGGGAACGUGCUUGCGUCCAUGUGAGUCAAUUUUGUUUGGCCUCGUGAUCAGAUCCUCAGCUGAGCAAGGGGAGACAUGCGAAUUACUCAGAGGUUCCGUCAGCCUGAGGAAGGGGGAACAGACAGCCCAGGAGAGGGCAGUGGCCAGAGGCCUGGAGACGACCACGGUGCCAGCGAGCAGGGGCCCCGGGCCCGUGGAGGGAGCCACUAGGGUGAUGCAGCCGCUGGCUCGCAGCACCUCGUGAAAGUGCUGGGCCCAUGUGCCCGACUGGGCUGGUGCUGGCGGCCCUCAGUAGAGGGGGCGGGGCUGCCUUUUGGUGCUCCUCGAGGGGCGAGGGGCGGAGCUCUCAGACUUCCCCAGGCCCUCACUGGGAGGCUUCCCCUCGGCCUGUCUGCCCAGUCCCACGUGGAGUUCCCUCCAUGGAACAGUAUCACGGCUCCCAUAUCGGGAGCAGCCGCUCUGUGCCAGACUGUCUCCUACAUUAUCUCACUUAAUCACCAUAAAACCCCCGAAAGAAAGGCAGGUAGUAGUCCCCAGUCUAGGUGGGAAGCAGCUGCUCAGACAGGUUAAGUAACUUGCGCAUGGACACACAGCUAUUUCUGCUGGGGCCAGGAUGGGACCCUGGAGCUUGAUGCGAAGUCUGUGCUAUUUUCUCUCUCAAAGCUGCAGCCUCGCUGGGGAAGUAGGGACCACCCGGGGCUUCUACAACUGAGGCGGCUGCAUCCCUUUGUGAAGCACGAAGCUUCCUGCAGACCCCGGGAGCAGCCCCUGUGGGGCGUUCUUGGUGGACAGAUUUGAAGCAGUUGCACCCAGGGCACCUGGGAGCCACAGCUGGAGCGUGUCAGUCACUGAGGUGUCGUCAGUGUGGGGGUGUGAUCUGGCCUGAGGUCUCGCUCUGAGAAGUGGGCUCUUCCCAACACUUCCUCCGCGGAGGGACAGUGGAGGGUGAAGUUAGAUCUGCUGCCGGAGCUCUGUUCCAUUCGGGUCCAGGAGAAGCAUGGCAGCCCGUCUGGGCCAGGACAGGGCGCUGCCCUGCUCACAGCUUCCCCCUGAGGUGAAGUGUGCCCUGAAGUUCCAGAGUCUCGCCGUUCGGGAGAGCCCACGUUUAGGUGACCAUUCUUCAAAUACCCACUUCUAAGGGAAGAUGCCUCAGCCAUUCCUGACACAGAGGUCUCCGCAGGGACCAUGUGUCCCACACACAUGAGCUCUGCCCAGCAGCUGGAGCCACAGAGGACACACAAAACCCCCACAUAUACCUACCUUCCACAUGCACACCAUAAUACACUACACACCAAACACACACCCCCCCCACACCGAACACCACACACACACCCCAUCCCCACACCCAUCAUACACCACAUCCACACCACAUCCACUCACACACACCCACUCACACACACACACACACACUCCACACCCCACGCGGCAUUUAGAGUCCCGGCCCCAGCGCACUCUCCCUUGGACAGUGGAACCAGAGGGGCAGGAAGGGUGGUCUUCCACGGUGGGGCCCGAGGAAGCCUCGAGGCCCUCAGAGGUGAGCGGGAUGGAGUGCGUGCUGGGAGCGCCUUGUGCUCUUUGCCACUUGUGUAAACGUUGCUGUCGACCAGGUUCUGUCCCCACUGACCGUCCACCCCUGGAGGGAGGCGUGGCCCCGUGACCGGCUUUGGCCAGUGGAUUUGACAGGUGAGAGGGGCCACAUCCCCGUGAAAGCAUCCGAGAACCGGUGUCUUCAUCUUCCCUUCCCCUGUGGCCUCCAGAGGUUGGGUCCCCAAAUGAGGCUGGCGUGGAGCAGAGCCCAGCCCGUGAUGGACAGGGAGUGAGAGUGACAGCCUUUGUGGGUUUAGGCACAGAUUUGGGGCUGUUUGUCACCACCACAUCGUUCACCCCCUCCUGCUGCCGGGCGCACUGAAGAGCCACACCCCACAAGGGCUGGACUCUCCGCUGAGACGAGUCGUGGGAUUUGGGCACGAAGCUGGCAGUGUGUCACAGAGGCUCGUGACCGGGAGGUGAGAACCUGCCCGCUGGCAGCCGUCCUGCAGCCUCUCAAAGCCCAGCCCUCCCGGCUGGUGUCCACCGAGGCCGCAGAGCCUUUCUGAGAAACACACGUCAGGAUGCAAUCGUGCAACAUGGAGCCGCCUGAAACACCAAGUUCGCGGGUAUGUGUGAGUGUCUUUGUGUCUUCCCUCUCUUUUCCAUCGGAAGAACAUAAGCUCAGGACAGUGACGGCCCUGGAAUGAGAACAGAAUGGGACUGGGAAACUUGUUUCUUCAUUUUCUGUCCCCGCCUCCUUACACCGGUCUCUUUGAAAAGCUGAAGGCAACACCCAAGCGCCUCCAGGACUACAGCUCCACUGGGCAGUCCCCUGCUAAAGCUGUAGCCCUCUCUGGGCUCUGGUACUGCUGUUUUCUCCCCUUGCCCGUUGGGCCUUGAGGGUGUAACAGCGUCUGCUGCGGCCAGCUCCUGAGUGCCUCGGCGUCCCUCGUUGGUUCCCUUGAACUUGUCCACGUCUCUGUAAAUCGUCCUUCACUAAACAGCUUUAAAAGUGAUGGCGCCAGUCACAGUGAUUAGUUGCAGAUGACAGAAUACUCUUUCUGGUUUGAGCAGAGGGGAAUCUGUUCAUGGGUGCUAGGACUGAAAUGCCAGGACUACCAGGAGACCAAGCUUGGAUGCCCCAUGGCCACGGACAACACUAACAGUCACCUGGACAAUCACUAACCCCACCCUUGACUGUUGCCAUGGAAACCCACUGCCUGUGAUGCUCAGGCCCAGACACUGGAGCAUGCUGCUGUGGGAGAACCGGACCCUCUGUUCCCUGCCAGCCAGGAGCCCCAUCCUCUACCGCCUUGGGUGGCUCACUUCCACCUUUUAAAUCUCGGGCAGGCAUCUGUCCAGAGGAGCUGAGGCCACUGGCAGAACCCUGGCUGCAAGAGAGUCAGGGAGAUGCAGGUUUCAGUUUUUCCAGAGACUCCCAUGCAGCCAAGCACAGAAGGAGGGGCUGGCACACAUGUUGAGUGAGUCAGCCCGUAUGGUCCGCCAGAGAAGUCAGAUAAGAGUGACAAAAAUGAUCAUUGCACCCUUGACCUCCCGAAGGCCACGUGAAGCCUCAGUUAUCUACUGUGUUACAAGGAGGACAGUGAGUGGCUCUCUUCGUCCCGGGAGCACUGGUUCUCAGAGCCCAUCGCCCUAGCCUCCUCAGUGCACACUGGCCUUCCAGCCACCAGCACUGUCUGCCUGGGGACUUUCCUUACUGCUGGAGACUCCUUGGCCCCCUUGGUGACAGGCUCAAGUGUGGAAAUCUGCUACCCCCAGGAGCACCUUCAGCUGGUACCCCAGCUGCCUCACCCCUUGGAUGGGAGAGCUCUGGCAGUGUGGUCUGUCCUGGCUGCCAGGGCUCCCUGGUGGACUGGGCUUCUGUUGCCCACAGUGGUAGGUGUCCAAAGUCGAGCCCCACAGUGCUGGGCAGCUUGAUAGUAGCCAUCACUAGCCAACAUCUCUUCCUUCUCUCACUUCCCGACCCUCCUGCCUCUGCCUCCCAGAUAGACUCCCGCUCAACAAUCCUCCUCUCCAGGUCUGCGUCUGGCACCUCACAAGCUGAGGCAUCCAUUGCCUAACCAUGAGGACAUGGAAAGCCUUGUCCCGGCUCUGGAAGUCCUGCUGGGGACAGUCCCUGGGCCAUGAGUUAACAGGUGUGAGGCUGCUGCUGUGACCUUGCACCUACUCACUCCAGUUUGGAAGGUCGUCCUGUUCCUGGUUCUCAUCCUCGUGGGCAGGAACCCAGAGGGCUCCAGGACGCUCUCAGCUGCCCGGUGCCCCACCCAAUGCUGAGGCCAGGACCACGUGUGCACACAGGCAUCAUCCACCCCAGGAUUCUGCCCGACCCUCUCUACCUCUUCUCCCCACAUCAUUCAGUGCUGCUUCAGCCCUGGGAUCGGAGGUGAUACUCCAUGAAGUUCAAGGGCAUCCUCUGCAUGUGCCGCCCUUGGUGUAAAUGGGACUCUGCCGUGUGUUGCUGUUAGUGCCAGCUGUUAGGGCCAGCUUUGUCCUGGGUUCACAGAACCAACAGUCCCCUGGAGCCUGCUCUGCUCGGGGCACGAGGAUGCUGGCUCUGGCGCAUGGGGAUGCGUCCUCUACUACAGAUGUCAGCUGCCCUCCUUCACUGCAGGUCUGCCCCUGAGUAGUCACCAACGGCAUAGCGACAGGGAGCUCACAUUCUCAUGUGACACCUUCAGGCGGGAGGGUGAGAGAAGCAGCUUGAUCAGCUGCUCUCUGCCAGGCGUGUGCCUUUUCUCCUUUCAGCAUCUUGGGGGCUAACUGUUACUAUCAUCCCCAGUGCACAGAUGCGGAAACCGAGGUUCCUACAGGUUGGGUGACUCUGAGGUCCCUUGGGGCUGGGGCCAGGGCUGGGACCAGGGAGGCCUGACUCAGGGCCCGUGCUUGUUCCCUGACAUGUUCCCGCCUCUCAGACACGGGACAUCAGUGAUGGGGCUCCUGGUCUGCUGCAUUGCUGCACCUCGGCCAUUUGUCAAGGAGCCUCUGUGCUGUCGUGGCACUGGGGACCUACAGUGAACCUACACAUCCCUUGUCCUCACGGGGGCUUCCUCCUAACGAAGGCAGAGACGGUGAACAGAUGUAAGUAAGACGGCUUCAGGGGCCCUGAGUGAAGGCUGCCACGCAGGGGACAGUGGACAGUCUCUGAGGAGAGGUCUGUCUCCUGCUGGGGGACGAACAACCCCGAGACUGAGCCCCCACAGCAGCCAAUGUUUAUUGUUUUGGUCUCUGUGGGUCAGGAGCCCAAGGGCAGCACAGCUGGGUGGCUCUGACUCAGGGCUCUCGAGGGGUCAGUCAGGAUGUCGGCAGGCGCUGCAUCGUCCCAGGCUGGAAAUCUAUGUCUCUGCUCCCAUGUGCGACUGGUGGCAGGAGGCGUCGGGUCCUCACCACGUGGGCCUCUCCAUAGGGCUGCUCACAGGCAGGGCAGCUGGCUUCCCGGGGAGAGAUGGAGAUGGAGAUCAAGGUGCACACGUGCACACGCAAGUGAGCCCACGUGCACACCAACACACACACACACCAACCCCGCCUGCUUUCCUCCUGCACGGCUGUGAUGAAAUGGAAAAGAAAACGAGGACAAGCACCCUCUCCCGCUGUUCCCAGGCCGCCCUUCCUCCCUGUGUGGGGCUCGCUUUCCUUCAGGCUUCCUGAGAAUGGCCUUGGAGAGUCGUCCUGCUGACAGAGAGCUGUCUGCACCUUGUCCCUGUCCCCUGGGGCAAAGAGACAGCACGAGUUUCUGCCAGCAAGUCCAUCACCUGCCAGCACACGGGGUGGUGUGAUGGGCACUGAUGCCCACUUGGAAUUGCUGGG
rnacentral:lncRNA from 1 species